CAGUAGCUCAGGGCAUGCACUGUGAGGUUGGACCUGUUGAUACUGCACUGGGCAUCCAUUUAGCUUCAGGUUGUCCUGUGUUUGUAUAUAGUGGCAUAGCAUUCUGCUGACAUUCUUAGUUGUGGAAAGAGAU